CUUGAUGCCUCAAGUACGAUUCAAGUUUCACUGCAACGUGUUCCUUUAAGCAACUCUAUGAAAAUUGGGCCAGGGUAAUUGUAUCUAUUGUACAGAAACAA